UAGCACUAAUUUUAGAAACAAAGAUUAUAAAUUUAUAGAUAUAUGGAUCGAUAUUAUUUCCUAGACAAUUUUUCCAUUCAUGGAAUUUAAGGGUUCAUCGGCAUAUAUAUAAAACAUUUCAGGAAAAGCCAAAUCCUUUCUUGCACCCGCGCCUCUUUCGUCUUCUUAUUCUCUCCCUCUCUCUUCUGAAACCCUAAUCAUCUGUUUUUCAUGUAAUUAACAAAGACAACUUUAUGUUUAUGUUUGUUACAGAGAUUAAUGUUGGUUCUAAACAAUCUUUGUGCAUCAAAUCAAUUUACGAGCAAUAAUAACGAAUCUAAUCUCAACUCCAAUCCACAACAAGUAAUUAUUUUUUUGUUCUUUUCUUCUCUGUUUGGUUAGGGUUUUAGGGUUUUUGAUUAAUACAUGUUGUCUAUUUUGAAUCAUUGAUCAGGAUACCACUUCUUUUUUAGUUGUAGUUUAAUAAAAGGAUUAGAGUAGGGAAGAACUGUGUGUCUUGCAUCAACCAGGUGUGUUUAGAUUUCCUUUAACUUUAAAGUUUAGAAAAUUUGUAUCCAAUUAUUGCUUAUGAGGUAUUUGACAGUGAUAGGUAGAGAGAUUUCCUUACAAGCGAUUGCUUGAUACUAUAGUAUGAAAGUACUUGAUUAGGUUCGUUAAGUCUUACUGCAGGUUGUUUCUUAGUAUGCAGAAGUGCUUGAUCGAUUUUGAUGGCCGAAACAAAUUGACAGUCUUUAAUUUGUUCUCAUUUUACGCAUUCAGCAUAAACAUCAUAAAUACAACAUGAAGAAAAAGAUUGUUAUCGAGGUACAGAUGCACUGUUCCAAUUGCAGGUCCAAAGCUCUUAAACUCGCUACAGUGGCAGAAAGUGGGGGAGAAGGAUAUUAACCCUUUGUACUCUGGAUUUAUAGCACGGUUGGAAUUAGAGCGCAGCUACAUACAAAAUUUUGAUGCAAUGGGAGUAUCAAGUUGAUUAUGUGUGUGGCCAUUGAAGCUGGAGACAAUAUUUGGUGUUCUGGAUUAAAUUAGGGUGACUGUAUUGGUGCAUGAUUCCGUACUAACUACGGGUAUUUAUUCUUUGUUCAAUCUAUUAUUGUGGAUAUUGUGGAUGUUGAGACUUUAGACGUUUAUACGCAUAGUUCUCGGACAUUAAUUAUGAAUCAAAUUCACUAUAUAGGUUAACGUUGGAC